UAAAGAUCUGCUAAGCAAGUAUGUCCAGGGGUUUAAGUUGGGAGCUCUAUGAAAAAUUCUUUUAAUCAGGUUGUAUAUCUGUGUCCAAAAGGAUUGUGCUUGGGGGCAUUCCCACCACAUGUGAAUGCAUGUGCCCCUAAGGCCGCAUCCCCUCCAACAGUUAUCAGUUGGUGUUUUUCAUGCAAUGCAGUUUGGCCGGUGUAGUGUACC